UACGGGAGGCAGCAGUGGGGAAUAUUGCACAAUGGGCGCAAGCCUGAUGCAGCCAUGCCGCGUGUAUGAAGAAGGCCUUCGGGUUGUAAAGUACUUUCAGUCGUGAGGAAGGUGUUAAGGUUAAUAACCUUAGCAAUUGACGUUAGCGACAGAAGAAGCACCGGCUAACUCCGUGCCAGCAGCCGCGGUAAUACGGAGGGUGCGAGCGUUAAUCGGAAUUACUGGGCGUAAAGGGCACGCAGGCGGUUAAUUAAGUUGGAUGUGAAAUCCCCGGGCUUAACCUGGGAAUGGCAUUCAAGACUGGUUAGCUAGAGUCUUGUAGAGGGGGUAGAAUUCCAUGUGUAGCGGUGAAAUGCGUAGAGAUGUGGAGGAAUACCGGUGGCGAAGGCGGCCCCUGGACAAAGACUGACGCUCAUGUGCGAAAGCGUGGGGAGCAAACAGGGAUUUAGAUACC
rnacentral:rRNA from 1 species